AUUGAACGCUGGCGGCAGGCCUAACACAUGCAAGUCGAACGAGUGGCGGACGGGUGAGUAAUGUCUGGGAAACUGCCUGAUGGAGGGGGAUAACUACUGGAAACGGUAGCUAAUACCGCAUACCAUCGGAUGUGCCCAGAUGGGAAUGGCUAGUAGGUGGGGUAAAGGCUCACCUAGGCGACGAUCCCUAGCUGGUCUGAGAGGAUGACCAGCCACACGGGAAUUGAGAACCGGCCCAGACCCCUACGGGGGGCAGCAUUGGGGAAUAUUGCACAAUGGGCGCAAGCCUGAUGCACCCCUGCCGCGUGUAUGAAGAAGGCCUUCGGGUUGUAAAGUACUUUCAGCGGGGAGGCGUUACCCGCAGAAGAAGCCCCGGCUAACUCCGUGCCAGCCGCCGCGGUAAUUC
rnacentral:rRNA from 1 species